rnacentral:rRNA from 1 species
GACGAACGCUGGCGGCGUGCUUAACACAUGCAAGUCGAACGGAAAGGCCCUGCUUUUGUGGGGUGCUCGAGUGGCGAACGGGUGAGUAACACGUGAGUAACCUGCCCUUGACUUUGGGAUAACUUCAGGAAACUGGGGCUAAUACCGGAUAGGAGCUCCUGCUGCAUGGUGGGGGUUGGAAAGUUUCGGCGGUUGGGGAUGGACUCGCGGCUUAUCAGCUUGUUGGUGGGGUAGUGGCUUACCAAGGCUUUGACGGGUAGCCGGCCUGAGAGGGUGACCGGCAAUGGUGGGACUGGGAUAGGGCCCGGCUCCCUCGGGGGGGGAGCGGGGGGGAAUUUGGAACAGGGGGCGGAAGCCUAAGGCAGCACGCCCGGGGGGGGGAUGGCGGCUUGGGGUUUGAAAACCGCUUCCGCCUGUACCGAAGGGGGAGUGAGGGUAAGGGGAAAAGAAGCACGGCCAAACUACGUG